rnacentral:rRNA from 1 species
UACGGAGGAUGCGAGCGUUAUCCGGAAUCAUUGGGUUUAAAGGGUCCGUAGGCGGGCUAAUAAGUCAGAGGUGAAAGCGCUCAGCUCAACUGAGCAACUGCCUUUGAAACUGUUAGUCUUGAAUGGUUGUGAAGUAGUUGGAAUGUGUAGUGUAGCGGUGAAAUGCUUAGAUAUUACACAGAACACCGAUAGCGAAGGCAUAUUACUAACAAUUAAUUGACGCUGAUGGACGAAAGCGUGGGGAGCGAACAGGAUUAGAUACCCCGGUAGUCC